AUGUAUGUUUAUGAACACAACAAAAUAUUAAAAUAUAAACUUAGUCCACAGCACGUCCUUCAAGGAAACAAAAUAGAAGAAUUGAACGUGCUUCUUGCAACGAAGCAGAGAGUUCUACGCCAUGACCAUGUGAGAUAUGUCUCGUUUUUUGAGCUUCAGAUUCAUAUAGUCAGAUACUCAUCACCUUCUUCUCUCUUCCUCUCUGUAUCCAGAUGUUAUGCUUGA